CAAAUAAUCAUUAUUAAUGAGGUGUUUGUAAUAACAACAAAUAAUGUACAUGAACGACUCUAAUCACAUUUAUGUUUCCGAUAACUACGUUUUUAGAAGUUUCGUUGAUUAAUAUCACCAAGCUAACAACGCAGGCAUAUAACAUGUUACAAAAUGGGCUCGAAACAUGUUAAAUAACUUCCAUGAUAGCCUAGUGCUUGCUGCUACAUAAGUCAGUGAAUACUAAUGGUAGGCUACGCUAUAAACAGAAUCGACGCAUGUUUUCUUGUUCUGACCAUGUUAGCCGCGGCCACAACGACCAGUUACUGUUUCUAGCAGCAUUACUUUUGCAUGCUGGGAGGAUAGUGGAUCGGAACACUUGGAAACUGAAACUGAGGAUGGGUUGUGUAGCAGUGUUGGGCUAGGAUUUCAGCUCAUGAACACCCGUAUGUAUAGAAAAGCAGAGAGGACCACAGGAAUGAAAAAUGCUGGAGAAAGAACAUUUAGAGGAGGAAGGAGAUAGAGUUCUUGUGCCACUCAUUCUGGCCAGCAGUGGCCAUCAGACAACUAUCCCCCAAACAUUCAGAACAUUCAGGUUCUGUGCAGUUUUGAGAGUGCUAUUAUCAACUCUCUCAGGAUCCUUUUGAGGGAGUGCCUCUUGUUCCAUGGGGUUCCUCUCAGGCAGAUGGCAGGUGCACAAUAUCUGAGCUGGCUGCCCCACUUCAGAUAGAGACAUCCGCCGUCCACUGUGACAGGGCUUUCAAUAUUUCAGUAACCUUGCACCCAGCAGGGGAGGGCUUUUUUUCUUUUGUUGCAUACAAUUUUUAAUUUGCGGACAUCAAGGUCUACCAAUAUCUUCUUGCUACAACUGAUAAACAGUGUAAAGGGUACUAAUAGUCCAUAGAGAAACAACAUAUGAAGAAGGAGUAUUUUAAUCCUCCACUUCUUCAUGGGCUUUUAUUGUGAUUUCUUGCACAUGUUGAGACUGCCUUUGAACAGAGCACUCUGAAACAUCUUUUUUUUGUAAUUUUCAAGGUCCUUGGUUGAUAAAAUGAAUAUUGUUACAGAAUGCACUACUACCUGUCCAAAAUACAAAUAUGACCAUAUGACCAAAUGUUCCCGUUUGUAUGUUUGUAUGUGAUAAAUGCUAUUCAGUCUUCAGCAGAUUUGCCCAUGUGAAAUCACACAUUCAAAUUAUAUCUGCCAAGUGUAAAAUAUUCUAAUUAAAGUCUGCCACAUCGGCAUGGUGAGAUUCUG